GCAAAAAAGCUAGCCUAAACAUAACAAACAAAUGAACAACCAUAUAUACCACACCCAAAGAAACAUUAAACUAAAACAUUCUUCCACCUUAGUAAGGGAGACAGAAAAGGAAAUCUCUAGAGCCAUAGAAAAAGUACCGCAAGGGAAAGCUGAAAAAGAAAUGAAACAACGCAUAUAAGCAACAAAAAGCAGAGCUAAACCCUCGUACCUUUUGCAUCAUGAUUUAGCAAGCACACAUCAAGCAAAGAGAACUUCAGUUUGAAACCCCGAAACUAGACGAGCUACUCCGAGGCAGUCUUAAAGGACUAACCCGUCUCUGUGGCAAAAGAGUGGGAAGACCCCCGAGUAGAGGUGAAAAGCCUACCGAGCCUAGUUAUAGCUGGUUGCUUAAGAAAUGAAUGUUAGUUCAGCCUUAUAUAUUCUAAAACCCAAAACCCAAACAAUAAGGGCCCAAGUAAUACAUAAGAGUUAGUCAAAGGGGGUACAGCCCCUUUGAAACAGAACACAACCUUUUACAGGAGGACAAGGAUCAUAAUAAUUAAGGUAUAUUAGCCGCCUCAGUGGGCCUAAAAGCAGCCACCUGAACAGAAAGCGUUAAAGCUCCGGCAGAAAACUCACCCAAUAAUAAGGAUAAAUUUCUCCCCACCCCCUAAAAAUAUUAAGCCAUCCUAUGCAGACAUAGGAAAGAUUAUGCUAAAAUGAGUAAUAAGAAGGAGUAUUAGACCUUCUCCCGGCACAUGUGUAAGUCAGCUCGGACAGACCACUGACAAUUAACGAACCCAAAAAUGAGGGGACAACAACAACCUACAAUAAAACAAGAAAACCCUGUAUUACCUACAAUCGUUAACCCCACACAGGAGUGCCCAUAAAAGGAAAGACUAUNAGGAGAAGAAGGAACUCGGCAAACACAAACCCCGCCUGUUUACCAAAAACAUCGCCUCUUGCCAACAAAUGAAGUAUUAGAGGUCCCGCCUGCCCUGUGACCAAAGUGUUUAACGGCCGCGGUAUCCUGACCGUGCGAAGGUAGCGUAAUCAUUUGUCUUUUAAAUGAAGACCAGUAUGAAUGGCAUCACGAGGGUUUAACUGUCUCCUUCCCCCAGUCAAUGAAAUUGAUCUGCCCGUGCAGAAGCGGACAUAAAAACAUAAGACGAGAAGACCCUAUGGAGCUUUAGGCGAAAGUCAAACAUGUACAAGGACCCGAAGCAUUGAUAAAUAAUAAAAGGCCUAAACCUAACCAAAUGUAAAAUGACUUAUAUGCCUUCGGUUGGGGCGACCAUGGAGGAAAACAAAGCCUCCACAUGGAAUGGGGAUAUCCCCUAAACCAAGAAAGACAAUUCUAAGUAACAGAACAUCUGACCAAAAAUGACCCAGGACCUAGUCCUGAUCAAUGAACCAAGUUACCCUAGGGAUAACAGCGCAAUCCUUUCCCAGAGUCCAUAUCGACGAAAGGGUUUACGACCUCGAUGUUGGAUCAGGACAUCCUAAUAGUGCAGCCGCUAUUAAGGGUUCGUUUGUUCAACGAUUAAUAGUCCUACGUGAUCUGAGUUCAGACCGGAGUAAUCCAGGUCGGUUUCUAUCUAUGAACUUACUUUUUCCCCGUACGAAAGGACCGGAAUAAAGGGGGCCAAUACUGAAAGCAAGCCCCACCUCUACCUACUGAAAACAAAUAAAAUAGAUAAAGAGGUAUACUUAAUCGACCAAAAAUAAUGGUAU
rnacentral:rRNA from 1 species